rnacentral:rRNA from 1 species
AUUGAACGCUGGCGGCAGGCCUAACACAUGCAAGUCGAGCGGAUGAAGGGAGCUUGCUCCUGGAUUCAGCGGCGGACGGGUGAGUAAUGCCUAGGAAUCUGCCUGGUAGUGGGGGAUAACGUCCGUAAACGGGCGCUAAUACCGCAUACGUCCUGAUGGAGAAAGUGGGGGAUCUUCGGACCUCACGCUAUCAGAUGAGCCUAGGUCGGAUUAGCUAGUUGGUGGGGUAAAGGCCUACCAAGGCGACGAUCCGUAACUGGUCUGAGAGGAUGAUCAGUCACACUGGAACUGAGACACGGUCCAGACUCCUACGGGAGGCAGCAGUGGGGAAUAUUGGACAAUGGGCGAAAGCCUGAUCCAGCCAUGCCGCGUGUGUGAAGAAGGUCUUCGGAUUGUAAAGCACUUUAAGUUGGGAGGAAGGGCAGUAAGUUAAUACCUUGCUGUUUUGACGUUACCAACAGAAUAAGCACCGGCUAACUUCGUG